AGUGAACGCUGGCGGUAGGCCUAACACAUGCAAGUCGAACGGCAGCACAGUAUGAGCUUGCUCUUACGGGUGGCGAGUGGCGGACGGGUGAGGAAUACAUCGGAAUCUACUUUUUCGUGGGGGAUAACGUAGGGAAACUUACGCUAAUACCGCAUACGAUCUACGGGUGAAAGCAGGGGAUCUUCGGACCUUGCGCGAUUGACUGAGCCGAUGUCGGAUUAGCUAGUUGGCGGGGUAAAGGCCCACCAAGGCGACGAUCCGUAGCUGGUCUGAGAGGAUGAUCAGCCACACUGGAACUGAGACACGGUCCAGACUCCUACGGGAGGCAGCAGUGGGGAAUAUUGGACAAUGGGCGAAAGCCUGAUCCAGCAAUACCGCGUGGGUGAAGAAGGCCUUCGGGUUGUAAAGCCCUUUUGUUGGGAAAGAAAAGCAGCAGGUUAAUACCCCGCUGUUCUGACGGUACCCAAAGAAUAAGCACCGGCUAACUUCGUG
rnacentral:rRNA from 1 species